rnacentral:rRNA from 1 species
AAUAAAUAUAACACACCAAAAUCUAUAUAUUAAAAAAAACAAUUAUAUUUUACACCUAAUCUUACUAAUAAUAAAAAUAAGUACUAUAAAGGAAUAAUAAACUGAACAAAAGUAGUGAUAUACCCACGUACCUUGUGCAUUAUGGUUUUACAAGCACAUAAUUAAAUAUAUAAAUCCCGAAUUCUACACGAGCUGCUAAAAGGUCGUUAAGAACCCACUACUAGUUGUAGCAUCAACCUUAGAAAACCUUUCGGCAGAGGCUACAUACCAAGCGCGUCAGAAAAUUGCUGGUUCUCAGUAAAAUUUAUCAAUUAAUACAUGUAAUUAUAGCUACAGUGUAAUAUUACAGAGGAUAAGCCCUGUAAAAGAAGCCUUUAAAUUUAAAAAUAAGCCACCUAAUAGGCCUAAAAACAGCCACCAACAAUACUUUAUCGUAAACAAAUAUUUUUCAAUUAUUAUAUAAACUAGCUACAAAAAACUGAGAUUUAUGACAAAUAAAUAAACAUAAAAUUUUAUGUAAAAAUAAGUAUUAAACUU